GUAAUUGGAUUAUUCAUUGUCGAACAUACGGCGUAUAGUUUUAAGAAGCAUUUAUUGUGAAACUAUGAGUGCUAAAAACUAUUUCAUUCACAAAAACAGAUUGUGGACCUUUUUACAUUAUAAAUUGAUCAAACAAUUUUCCAUUUGCUACUUGUGAAAGAGAAAAAAUAUGGCUACAAUUCAUAAAUUUGUUUAUGUUAUGAUCCUAAUUAUUUUCCAUUUUCUUGUUUUAACCAAAGGCCUCGACGAUCCUCAUUGUGCUACGGAUGAUGAUUGUAAAAAUGUAUGUGUCCCACCUCGAGUUAGGCAGUGCCUCUGGUCUAAUUGUUACUGCAAUGUUAAAUAAAGAGAAGAAAAGGAUAAUAAUGAUAUUAUACAAGUGUUGUAGUCUUUGUUAGCUUUUACAAAAAAAAUAGAGAACAAAAUUGUCGUUGGAAUGUUAUAGUGAACGACUUCAAUAAAUAAAAGUGAUAUGAUGAUGUAAAAUAGUUAAUAAAUAAAUAGAGGCAUCAUGAUUAAAUAUUUA